UAUAAAUUUUUAAUUCAAAUAAAAGUCGUUUGUUUAAGCAAAUGUGUGUCCUGAAUCUGCAAAAAUUUAAAAAACUGUCAUCCAUGUUACUGGAUGCUUUAAAACUUGAAUUUCAAAAAAUCGUUAAAUUAUAUCUUUUUGGUAAAAUUAUAUAAAAAUUAAUUGGAGUUUUUUUGGUGUACAACCUUGGCCAAGUUACCAAAAUAAUCAAUGGAGAAAGUGUUGCUGAAGAAGACAUGUUAAAUGUACAGGUACAAUUAUCGAUGAAUUGCACAACAGUAUCAAAUUGUGUUAUUUUUUUAUGCAAAUUUGUUCAAUCUGGUGUGACUCAACUAGUUGAUUAUUUUUUAUGCUAAAAAAAUUCAUCUGCACAGUAAAUUCAUAUCAAAAUAUGGAACAACAUUUUAUUUAUGAUAGUGACUUUAUUUUAUGGACAGACACUUGUUGGCAUUGCUUCAUUUGGAAUUCAAUUUA